AUUGAACGCUGGCGGAAUGCUUUACACAUGCAAGUCGAACGGCAGCACGGACUUCGGUCUGGUGGCGAGUGGCGAACGGGUGAGUAACAUAUCGGAACGUAUCCAAUAAUGGGGGAUAACUAAUCGAAAGGUUGGCUAAUACCGCAUACGCCCUACGGGGGAAAGCUAGGGACCUUCGGGCCUGGCGUUAAUGGAGCGGCCGAUAUCUGAUUAGCUAGUUGGUGAGGUAAAGGCUCACCAAGGCGACGAUCAGUAGCUGGUCUGAGAGGACGACCAGCCACACUGGAACUGAGACACGGUCCAGACUCCUACGGGAGGCAGCAGUGGGGAAUUUUGGACAAUGGGCGCAAGCCUGAUCCAGCCAUUCCGCGUGAGUGAAGAAGGCCUUCGGGUUGUAAAGCUCUUUCGCAAGGGAAGAAGAUUAUCCUCUAACAUAGGAUGAUUAUGACGGUACCUUGAUAAGAA
rnacentral:rRNA from 1 species